rnacentral:rRNA from 1 species
AUUGAACGCUGGCGGCAGGCCUAACACAUGCAAGUCGAGCGGAUGAUGGGAGCUUGCUCCCGGAUUCAGCGGCGGACGGGUGAGUAAUGCCUAGGAAUCUGCCUGGUAGUGGGGGACAACGUCUCGAACGGGACGCUAAUACCGCAUACGUCCUACGGGAGAAAGCAGGGGACCUUCGGGCCUCGCGCUAUCAGAUGAGCCUAGGUGGGAUUAGCUAGUUGGUGAGGUAAUGGCGCACCAAGGCGACGAUCCGUAACUGGUCUGAGAGGAUGAUCAGUCACACUGGAACUGAGACACGGUCCAGACUCCUACGGGAGGCAGCAGUGGGGAAUAUUGGACAAUGGGCGAAAGCCUGAUCCAGCCAUGCCGCGUGUGUGAAGAAGGUCUUCGGAUUGUAAAGCACUUUAAGUUGGGAGGAAGGGUUGUACGUUAAUACCGUGCAAUUUUGACGUUACCGACAGAUUAAGCACCGGCUAACUCUGUGCCAGCCGCCGCGGUAAUAC